CCAAUAGCGUAUAUUAAAGUUGUUGCAGUUAAAAAGCUCGUAGUUGAAUUUCGGGAUCAGUACGCCGGUCGUGCCUUCGGUAUGUACUGGUGUCACUGAUUCCUCCCUUCUGACGAACCGUUAUGCCAUUUAUUUGGUGUGGCGGGGAAUCAGGACUGUUACUUUGAAAAAAUUUGAGUGUUUAAAGCAGGCUCGCGCUUGAAUACAUUAGCAUGGAAUAAUGAAAUAGGACGUUUGAUUCUAUUUUGUUGGUUUCUAGGAUCGACGUAAUGAUUAAUAGGGAUAGUUGGGGGCAUUAGUAUUCAAUUGUCAGAGGUGAAAUUCUUGGAUUUAUUGAAGACUAACUACUGCGAAAGCAUUUGCCAAGGAUGUUUUCAUUAAUCAAGAACGAAAGUUAGGGGAUCGAAGACGAUCAGAUACCGUCGUAGUCUUAACCAUAAACUAUGCCGACUAGGGAUCGGAUGAUGUUAAUUUUUUAAUGACUCAUUCGGCGCCUUACG
rnacentral:rRNA from 1 species